rnacentral:rRNA from 1 species
CUGCUGCCUUCCGUAGGAGUUUGGACCGUGUCUCAGUUCCAAUGUGGGGGACCUUCCUCUCAGAACCCCUACUGAUCGUCGCCCCGGUGGGCCGUUACCCCGCCGGCAAGCUAAUCAGACGCAUCCCCAUCCUUUACCGGCCGAAGCCUUUGGUCAUGAAAAUAUGCAUCAACAUGACAACAUACGGUAUUAAUCCGCCUUUCGACGGGCUGUCCCAGAGUAAAGGGCAGGUUGGAUACGCGUUACUCACCCGUGCGCCGGUCGCCAU